AGGAGACAGAAUGACCAUCCGCCAGCGCGUUGCGCCCGCGGGUGCUGCUUUG
rnacentral:sRNA from 1 species